AUACCCUACAUCCUACUUGGGAGUUGUAUUUCUUAGUAUGAGUGUUACAGGAUACCACAGGUGCCUGUGCAUGCAGUGUGACAUUUUUCCCAGACGUGUGUCACAGCCACAUGAAGUACAACUUUGCUCAUCCAUGCUGGACGCCAUGCAGCACCCGGUCCACUUGUAACAUCACAAAAUUUCAAACCUUUACAUGUGCAUUGCAUCCAUGAGCAUCAUGCCACAAAUGCAUGUUUGAAUUCAAAUUUGAAUCUCAAAAGUCUUUAAAAGAUUUGGUUUACACCCAUUUGAGCUUUGGAUUUUCAAACCAUUAAGGUUCAAGUAUAAAAGGGGUUUAUUGCAAAUAUGAGCUACCCCAUAGUUUUUGGAUAAUUAUUUGGAGUUGAAAACGUAUUUUAUUUUAAAUAGAUAUAUGGCCCUAAAGGCAUUUAUAGGGCAAAUGUAUUUUUACAUAUUUUAUUUUGAAGAGAAACUACUUCCAAAAGUUGUAUCUUGGUAGAACAUGAUUUUACAAAUUUUCUGAAAUUUGUUUGGACCAAUUUGGAGUUCAAACACAAAAGAUAUCAAAGAAAUGAGAAAAACAAAAAAAGAAAAGGCCUAAAAGAAAAAAAAAAGGGGGUAAACCGGACCGGCCCGGCCAAAAUGGGCCGAACAGGCCCAGUCUGACCGCGCCCGACCGGCCCAGACCGCCCGGUCCACGCGCGCGCGCCCGCAGUCGCUGACAGGUGGGGUCCACCUGUCAGCUGCGUCUUCCCCGAAGGAAAGCGCCACCGUCCCCGCGCGCCGCUGCAAUCUCCUCCUCCGGCCUUCCAUUUUCAUGCCC
rnacentral:lncRNA from 1 species